AAUCUACCCAAUUUAUGCCCAAAUACCCUUUUUAAUUAAUUUUCUAUUUAUUCCCAAUUACAUAGCCCACUCCUCCACCGACCCGGCCCACCUAAGGUUUCCUUCUCCUUCAAUCUAUAACAACAGCUGAUCCCCAAGGUACAAUAGCCAAAUUUUCAACGUACAACCAAACGACAACAUCGCGACAACACCACCAUCUCAACCAAGCUCCGACCCGAAUCCUCCAACCCCGAUUAACCCCUAACCACGUCAACCCAUAUCCCGCGAAAUGCAUGCCCAUUUUACUCGAUUUCAAAUGAAGAAAACCCUCGAACCUUCUAGAAACGGGCUAGGUGUUGUCUCCAAUGGUUCAAUCCCGCAAAUUUUGGGAUAACUCAUAUGAUCUCGUACAAUAUUUGGCUGAUUUCUAUUGGUUUUAGGGAAGAAUUAUUUUUCCUAAAUCCUUUUCGUCCACUAAUUCCAAAAAGGGAACGUUUGUUGAUGAAACGACAAGCUAAAAAGGGGAAUUCAAAUUUCAAAUCCAAUAAGAUCCUAUUUCAAAAAGUCCCCAAACAGACCCCUAUUGAUCUUCUAUAUAAGAGGGGACGAAGUCACUGUUUUGGGUGGUUAGAAAAGGAGGGGGUCGAGGAAUUUUUUUGGAGAAGGGAAGCAAAAAGAUAAGAAAAAGAAAGGGAGAGAAACUACCCUUGGAGCACAAAUCAGUUUUGUUAAUAAAAAAAACUUCUUCUCGUGAAUUUGUCAGCUAACCGAAGUUUCAAAUUGACGACAAUGAUGUUAUUCUGGAAGUGACGACUCCGGCGAUUGCUCGAGUCCAAUUUUGCUGCACCGCAAGAGGGGAACAAAUGUUUGUCUUGGUUGAUUGCAGUUAAUUGUCGUGGUCCUUCUUAACCUUUCUUCUAAAUUGGUAGCAUGAUAAGUAUUUGAAUAAAAAAUUUAAAGUUUCCUUGAAUUUUCCAUUAUCUUUCCUUUAUAUUCAUUUGAUACAUGUUUUCUUUGUUAUCUUAGUUGCUUAUUUUAACACAGUAUUAAUUUCAUCUUUUCUUUGCAUGAACCCACCUUGGAGUCCAAAUGGACUUUUUCUCCUAGCAUUUCAUAAUGGGCCAACAUGACCCGCUUUCUCGAGUCAAGCCCGAAAGAGAAUUCCAAACCCAUUACCUAGCGCACGGAUACAAAGAGUUGACAAAAGACAAAUCGGGUAAAGUCCCAUCUUUGAAGCGGCCAAGAGACUUGACAGUCUCGGUUUCCAUUUGGUUCAUUUAUUUAGUCAUUUAUUAUCAUCGUCUUUAUUUAUUUAGUUAUUUAUUCAUCUGGGCCCCGAAGCCAAACUUGUAUUUAAUAGAGGUGGAACAAAUUCGAGCCAAGAGCUCGAAAACUAGAAUAGGAUAGGUGAAACCGGUCAAAGGCCCAAUUAGACUAGGCCAGGUUUUGUUGGUUUGUGAACAAUGACCUAAAUCAUUUACUUUCUCCUUCCUUUUUU